GGCCUCCCAAAGUUCUGAGACUACAGCAUGUGCUGGCCAGUCUUUGGUUGGUUGGUUGGUACGGUAGGGGGUGGAGAGACUUGUUUUCAGUAAUUUGAAGGAAGCCAAGAGAGGGGUGUCUGUGUCUAACAGCCUGAUGGUUUUACUUCCGAAGCAGAAAAGUGUUCCAGUGUUAGAGACUGAUUUAAAAAAAAAAAAAAAAAAAAAAGCCCCUGAUGGGGAGCGGUGGCUCACGCCGGUAAUUCCAACACUUUGGGAGAGCAAGCCGGUGGAUCACCUGAGGUCAGGAGUUCACGAUCAGCCUGGCCAACAUGGUAAAACCCUGCCUGUAAUUGCAGCACUUCUGGAGACCAAACCAAGAGGACUGCUUGAGCCCAGGGGGACUGCUUGAGCCCAGGGGUUCAAGACCAGACUGGACAACAUACCAGGAACCCCUCUCUACAAAAAACUUGAAACUUAGCUAGGUAUGCUGGUAUGCACCCACAGUUCCAGCUACUCAGGAGGCUGAGGCAGGAGGAUCACUUGAGCCCAGAAGACUGAGGCUGCCAUGAGCUAUGAUCACACCACUGCACUCUAGACUGGGUGACAGAACAAGAGCAAGACUAUGUCUCUUGAACAAAAACGAAAAGCCUGGUGGCCUGGAUGUGUGCCAUGAACAAAAAAGAAACCUGUGAUUGUGGGUCUCGCUGUGUUGCCCAGCUGCUCUCCAACUCCCAGCCUCAAGCAAUCCUCCUGCUUCAGCACUGAUCUCACUCAGUGGUUCAGUGGGAUUACAGCCGUGAGCCACUGCACCCAGCCAUAAAUUCUUUUAUAUUUAAAGCAGUUUGAGUCGUUUCCGACCCCUACAACAUAAAGAGUCCUGUCUACUAUUCUCCUCAGGAGACAAAAUCUCUUCCCCUCAGCCCCAACAUCAAAUACAAAGCAUUCAGCCUCGUUAGUCAAAACUGAUCACAAUAAUAGCCUUUAUAGGUGUUUCUAGAGAGAUGGGGUGAGAAAAAAUAGGAUAUAAAUAACCAUUAUUUACAACUUGCA
rnacentral:lncRNA from 1 species